UACAGAGGUCCCGAGCGUUGUUCGGAUUCAUUGGGCGUAAAGGGUGCGUAGGUGGCGCUGUAAGUGGGGUGUGAAAUCCCGGGGCUUAACUCCGGAACUGCAUUCCAUACUGCGGUGCUUGAGGACUGGAGAGGAGACUGGAAUUCAUGGUGUAGCAGUGAAAUGCGUAGAGAUCAUGAGGAAGACCAGUGGCGAAGGCGGGUCUCUGGACAGUUCCUGACACUGAGGCACGAAGGCCAGGGGAGCAAACGGG
rnacentral:rRNA from 1 species